AUAAUCUUGCCUGUAGUUACCGUGGCUAGCCAGCAGAUGGCUCGGGUCUACCGCCAAACACGGCUCCUCUUGCGGAAGAAUGACUUUUUUCUCCUCAAAAGAACCUGUGAAUGAUACAACAGCCUGUACAAAAAUUAUCGAACACAUUCAAGGAGGAAAAGGCUUGGAGAGGUUGAGGGACGCGCAGGGGCUUCUUCUGCUUUGAAAACUUUGCUUUGUUUCCUGAUGAAAUGUUAGUCACUGGAGAAAGCUGAUGAAAGUGAAGUUUACACAGGAAUAGGAGUGGUUUGUGUUCUCACAAGACAUUCAGACAGAAUGGACUGGUGAAUCAUGGUUGUUACUGGCAGACCAAAGGUACAAGGGUUCAAAUGCAAAUCAAGAAAAUGGAAGUGUUGGGGAAAUGCAGCUCUUGGAAGCACAUCUGUCAAUCUUAAGAGAGAAACAGAACAUGAUAACACGGUCAAAUGUUUCCAAGAAUGAAGAUUUUAGUGUGGACAGCGUGGGAUGACGCCUAAUUACCGACUUCAUUGUUCUCAAAUGAUGCUUUUUGACAAGUACAGGAGAGCCACCAAGUGACAAAAUAAACUUUGAAGUUCAAUGCAGCAUGAGGUCUUCCAUGUAAGGCAUGCAACGGUUUUUCAUUUUAUUCUCACAAAUAUCUUUAAGGUAAUUGCUAUUUUGGAUACAGGAUGUUGUGAAAAAUGAUACCCCGCUUCUUCACUGCCUCUUCAGAAGAAAGCAGCAUACUUGAGUGGCUAUUUACAAAGCAGAAAGCAAAGUGACUUACAUUCUUGUUUGCAUUUCCCAUGAGAAAAAAAUUACUAAGAGCUUGGCUGGCUUUUUUUAGCACCUGCUUUUUGCCCCAAUGGUGAUUAGUAUAGGAAUUGAUGUAUGUAAUCUUCAUUCAGAUUGUGUGUACAUAUGGUUCAGAGCUGGAGACUGAUAAUCUGGAAUGCAAAUCAAAGCAAAUGAUUUGGUCUCUGCAGAAGCAAUCUGCAUAAAGUCAUAGGAAUAGCAAGUCUGUAACAUAGUUCAGUUUCUCACCUUCUGUCUGGAUAUAUGUAUUGAAAUUGCUAUACAUUUCAGAAUUUCUUGUACAUAGGCUAAUGAAUGGUGGUUUAAUUUAUGCUUUUAUUGAAUAACACCUUCAAUUAAAUGAUUGUAAAAUAUAGGGUUGUUAUAAUAAAUUCUUUGAAUUAUAUUAUAUUUUCAUCUGUUGCCCUUCCCUCUCUUUCCUUCAAAUUUUCCCAUAAGUCUCUCCACUUGCUCCUUCAAAUUGAAGGCCUCUUCUCCUGUAGUUGUCAUAUAGUUAUACAUACA